CAUAAGGAGAAGUAUGCCCUGGGAAUCGUGACACUUUUUCCUUCACUCAAAGAUCCUUUUUCUCCAAAGGGCUAUGAGCACUUUUAUGAUGGGGAAAAAGGCACAGGAUAUUUAGCAUGGCGCCUCAAGACCAUGUCAAGGAAAAGAUGUCAAAGGCCAGCGAAGGUAACGACGGUGGUACAAGAACAAGGACCAAAGCGCAGAAGAUGCCACACUGCCUCAGCAGCUUCAUGGAGAUACCUGCAAAGAGGCAAUAUCAUUACUCCUUCACUGCAAUGAUGAUGGAAGUGUAUUUGAGAAGAUGAAGAUGACCUUUCAACAUCGCCAGGACCUGGUUUAUGACCCACAAAGAACAACAGAUAUCUUCAAAACCUUUCCACGAUUUUUAGAUGUCAAAGGACUUCUAAACCAAGACUUUGUACUGCUGUUUGGAGUGGAAACGG